rnacentral:misc_RNA from 1 species
UGUGGGAGCGAGCUUGCUCGCGAUGACGAUCAGACAUUCACCAUUGAUGGUGGCUGGAAGACCGCUAUCGCGAGCAAGCUCGCUCCCACA